UUAGUAUAGAAUAAAAAAGAAAAUAACAUAAUUAUUAAUAUAUAAAAAAUACAAAUAUAUUUUGCCCCGGCGACCGAGACUUAUCUCUCGAGCGCAAAAGCGUUAAGUUAAAAUGCAGGAAUAAAUAUGUUUAACGAUUAAUUAGAAAUGCACGACUCGGAAUGAAUAAUUCGUGUAAUUUCUAAUCGGUUGAUGGCAUCGUGGAACGGAAGACCUCGUUUCAAUAACACGUUUAGAAGAAUCUCGAUAAAAUUUAUAUAGCAUUAACACUGGUAUUAAAAGAGUGUGUAAAUUUAAUCAACGCUUAAACUCCCGGAUAUUUCGACCAUUAUUAUCGAUAAUAACAAUACGUUGCUCGAUUAAAAUAUUUUACAAAAUCGUCGCUCAUUUCUUCCACGUAUUUUUAAUAUAUUGUCGUAUAAUACACUUUCACCAAUAGUUCAAUUACUAACCUUACUUUCUGGACAUCGAAUCUCGAAGAAAAAUCACUGAGGAAUCACGCGAUUUUCGUAUUCGUGACCGAGCGAGGAUUCGACGAGAGAUGCAUGCACACGCGUUCGAGCGAAUCGAGCAUGAAUUUUCGAUUCCUUUACUUCGAGUGAAUCUGUAUCGAUCGGUGGUCGUGGGCAUCAUCCGCUUACAGAAUCGAUUAUUUGUUUACCCGUUAAGUGGGUAAGUAAUGUACCUUAAUGGCGCGUUCACAGGCUGUGGGGCAUCGAUUGGAAUCGAACACGGUGCCCGAGUAUCGACUAUGGUGAUAAAUGCAACUUGACGCGUCGACGAAACUCCAAAAGAGUAUUUGCCUAUUUCUCGAAUGCAGAUUCGCAGUAAAAUAUCGAUUAAUUCGUUAUCUUUCGAUGAAAAUGAACGAGAUCGAGGAGAAAUUAAUCAAUCGUGCACGACAACUUCCUAACCUUUCUAUUCGAUUGUACGUAGAGUAAUUCCAUUUUCUCACACGAGUGUCGCUAGUCGAACAUUUUCAUCCAGCCAACUUCAUUCCAAAGCUGUAGUGUAGUUAUUAUAUAUUUUUAGAGUUGGUAUUUCAUGGUUCAUUUAUACAAGUAAAAUUCGUUCGAUUCUGCGCAGUCGCGUUUCUCGUGCGUGACAGCGAAGGUGCGAGGUUAAGAGAAGCAUUUUCGACGUACUUCACUUUUUUAUUAUAUCGAAAAGAAUUAUUUUGAAGAAGACGAGAUCAUUCCUAUUAUUACGUGAACACAAUAAAUAUGAAGAAAGGAAGCCUUCAAUAUUUAUUACAAUUAAAAAUCUACCUUUGUAAAGAGAGAGAGAGAGAGAGAGAGAGAAACAUUUUGAUAGGAAUAAAAUAAAUGUUUCCAAAAUUCCAGAAUUGUUUUGAAGAAGACGAAAUCAUUCUAGGUUCUUAUUAUCUGAAUACAAUAAGUAAGAGAAAGGAAGGUAAUUAUUUUGAAGAAGACGAAAUCAUUCCUAUUAUUACGUGAACACAAUAAAUAUGGAGAAAGGAAGCCUUCAUUAUUUAUUACAUUUAAAAAUCUACCUUUGUAAAGAGAGAGAGAGAGAACACUUUGAUCAGGAAUAAAAUAAAUGUUUCCAAAAUUCCAGAAUUAUUUUGAAGAAAAUGAAAUCAUUCCUAUGUUCUAUUGUUAUGUGAAUACAAUAAGCAUGAAGAAAUGAAGCCUUUAGUAUUUAUUAUCAAUUAAAAAUCUGUCUUUGAAGAGAGAAAGAGAGAGAGAGAGAGAGAGAGAGAGAGAGAGAGAGAUACGUGCGAUAUUAUUCGUUCCAUUGUCGAGAGAAAUGCUUUUUCGUUUAUAUCGAGCUUAUAAUAAUAACAACUAGUGAUUAAUCAGCUUACGAUUUGACGAUACACCUAUCGAUUUUAUCGUUUUGAUGAUACAGUUAAUUAUGUACGAGGCGAUAAUUAAUCCUAGUUAAUACUCCUUUUGUCUUCGAACGAUGAGAUUGAACUGUGAAUGAAGAAAAUUUGAGAAAAAUUCGAGGAGAAUAAUUCUAACGUUUUACGUAUCUCGUGAAAUAUAUACUCGUAAAUAUUAGGCGAGUUGAUUGUGUAGAUUGCGGGCAAUGUUUGCACGUUUAAUCGUUUCGUUCUAAUUUUCGCGAUCGAUCGUAUUAUUCCAUUAAACGCUGUGUAGAAACAGAAAUUAAAUUGGAUUUUUUAUUAAGUAAGCAGAUUUAUUUUCGAUUACCAACAACAAUUAUACAUCGAACGAUGUAUGAUGUGGAAAAGAAAAGGAUUAAAAUAAUAAUAAUAAUAAUUGCGGAAGAAUAAUUAUAUAUUGCAUUAUAUUUUAAGUCUGUUUGGAAUUUUAAUAAAGAUCACAUCGCGAGAAGUUACAUCGAUUAUCAGAUUCGAGGCAAGGUUAAAGGAAAGGCGAAGAUAUCUUUCCAGUCUGUGACACAAAGUUGAAGAACACCCCGCUCGAGUGGAAGAUCGAGAAAGGGACGACGGGUAUUGUGUUGUAAAUGCGACGUGACUUUGUCCGGGACCGUAGCUUGAUUUGAAUGUGCCAUUCAGGAACUUGGACGGUCGAGCUCGUUGUUGCAUCGGAGAGAGAAAGAGAGAGAGAGAGAGAGUAGGAUUAUUGGCACAUGGACUACAUUUUCGUCAAACGCACGCACGUUAAGCGAUCUAGCGCACAUUCAAAGAUAGAAACGUUUGUGUUUCAAAUGCGAAUUCAUAUGCAAAUGCGUGUCAGGUUGAAAGCAACGAAUGUCCGUCUAGCAAAAAGAAUGUCUAUAACGAAACGUGCGAUCGAUUGGACAAUCGAAUAUUUGGAGAAUGAAAAAAAAUUUGCAUCCUCACUUGCAACUGAAUUCACGAUGCUAGUUCGAAUUUAAGAAGCGGAUGAGCGAUUCUUUCUCGAAUUAAAAUCUUCUCCGUUCUAUUUCUGUUUCGAGAGAAGAGAGAAAAAGAGUGUCUAAAUUUAAAGCGUAAACAAAGACUCGCUUUCCUGAAUGUCAAUAGCACACUGCGCACCGAGCUCGUAACUCGGAAACGCGAGCCUCGGGACGAGUCGGAAGAAUUCGGAGAGAAUCGGCAAUAUUUCGGAAAUACUCGGCUGUAAUCGGGCGCGAUCGGCUAAAGGGCAAUCGAAGGAGCAAAAAGAGAUGGUAAACUACUUGCGAAUGGGUAAUACCAUUCGCGCGAAAUUUCAUGCGAUUCGGGAUCGAAAAUUAUUACAAAAACUCGAUAAUGUUUAUCGCCGAUAUAUUCGAAUCAUAACUGUUUACGAAACGUUCCAUGAUUACAAAUGCGGUGAACGUGAAAUGCAAAUAGAUCGAAUGUGAUUUUUUGUGCGCAAUUGGCCCGAUUCAUGGAAGCAAACAGCACGAUGCUUGCGCCCAGAGUCAAUUUGUUCGGUGUGCGUAAAUAUGUAAUCGGUUCUCGUACACUAUUGCGCCCGUCGAGCAUAUAUAUAUACACGUAUAUACGUAUAUGAUCAUUCGCCUCCGAAUACAGUGGCGUCCAAUUCCAUCGUUCACUUACGGCAUAUCGAUACGCUCUCUUCUGUUCUACGUAUAUACGAAACGCAUAUAAAUAUCGUAGAGGAGGAAAGAGCGCGACGACAACGACGUUACAUUUUUACCCGUGUUUAUCUUUGCUCGCGGUAAACGUAGACGAGGAAAGAGGGAAGGGGGGAGGGGAGGAGGAUAUAAAUUCCCUUUAUCGAUUUCGACCGUUCGUUUCGAUAAUUUUAAUCGGCCGGCCAAAUCUCAUGAAUCGAUAAUGAAAAUUAAAGGUUAAAUCUCGU
rnacentral:lncRNA from 1 species